GCACUGCUGAUGAGUCCCACAACAGGACGAAACGGCCGUCCAGUGC
rfam:Schistosoma mansoni, Puerto Rico, WGS project CABG01000000 data, contig: 0032